UGGGGAAUAUUGGACAAUGGGCGAAAGCCUGAUCCAGCCAUGCCGCGUGUGUGAAGAAGGUCUUCGGAUUGUAAAGCACUUUAAGUUGGGAGGAAGGGCAGUAAGCGAAUACCUUGCUGUUUUGACGUUACCGACAGAAUAAGCACCGGCUAACUCUGUGCCAGCAGCCGCGGUAAUACAGAGGGUGCAAGCGUUAAUCGGAAUUACUGGGCGUAAAGCGCGCGUAGGUGGUUCGUUAAGUUGAAUGUGAAAGCCCCGGGCUCAACCUGGGAACUGCAUCCAAAACUGGCGAGCUAGAGUAGGGCAGAGGGUGGUGGAAUUUCCUGUGUAGCGGUGAAAUGCGUAGAUAUAGGAAGGAGCACCAGUGGCGAAGGCGACCACCUGGGCUCAUACUGACACUGAGGUGCGAAAGCGUGGGGAGCAAACAGA
rnacentral:rRNA from 1 species